ACCGAAAUAGCUCAGUUGAGAGAGCUUUAGACUAUAGAUCGAAAGGUCCCAGGUGCGAUCCCUGGAUUAGGUA
rnacentral:tRNA from 1 species